CGGCGCACGGGUGCGUAACGCGUAUGCAACUUGCCUUACAGAGGGGGAUAACCCGUUGAAAGACGGACUAAAACCGCAUACACUUGUAUUAUUGCAUGAUAUUACAAGGAAAUAUUUAUAGCUGUAAGAUAGGCAUGCGUCCCAUUAGCUAGUUGGUGAGGUAACGGCUCACCAAGGCGACGAUGGGUAGGGGAACUGAGAGGUUUAUCCCCCACACUGGUACUGAGACACGGACCAGACUCCUACGGGAGGCAGCAGUAGGGAAUCUUCCGCAAUGGACGAAAGUCUGACGGAGCCAAGUCGCGUGAAGGAAGACUGUCCUAAGGAUUGUAAACUUCUUUUAUACGGGAAUAACGGGCGAUACGAGUAUUGCAUUGAAUGUACCGUAAGAAUAAGCAUCGGCUAACUCCGUGCCAGCAGCCGCGGUAAUACGGAGGAUGCGAGCGUUAUCCGGAUUUAUUGGGUUUAAAGGGUGCGUAGGUUGUUCGGUAAGUCAGCGGUGAAACCUGAGCGCUCAACGUUCAGCCUGCCGUUGAAACUGCCGGGCUUGAGUUCAGCGGCGGCAGGCGGAAUUCGUGGUGUAGCGGUGAAAUGCAUAGAUAUCACGAGGAACUCCGAUUGCGAAGGCAGCUUGCCAUACUGCGACUGACACUGAGGCGCGAAAGCGUGGGGAGCGAACAGGAUUAGAUACCCUGGUAGUCCACGCCGUAAACGAUGAUUACUAGGAGUUUGCGAUAUACCGUCAAGCUUCCACAGCGAAAGCGUUAAGUAAUCCACCUGGGGAGUACGCCGGCAACGGUGAAACUCAAAGGAAUUGACGGGGGCCCGCACAAGCGGAGGAACAUGUGGUUUAAUUCGAUGAUACGCGAGGAACCUUACCCGGGAUUGAA
rnacentral:rRNA from 1 species